AGGUUGCCUAUAAUGGUGAUCCUGAAGGCGCCCUCAUCCAAUUUGCAACGUAUGAUGAAGCAAAGAAAGCAAUCUCAAGCACAGAAGCAGUAUUAAAUAAUCGCUUUAUUAAGGUUUAUUGGCACAGAGAAGGAGCCACUCACCAGUUACAAACUACUUCACCAAAGGUAAUACAGCCUUUAGUCCAGCAGCCCAUUUUACCUGUUGUGAAGCAGUCAGUCAAAGAGCGGCUGGGUCCUGUACCUUCAGGUACUGUUGAACCGGCAGAAGCCCAGAGUGCUACUUCAGAACUUCCCCAGGUGUUGUCUACAUCUACUGGUCUUACAAAAACGGUGUACAAUCCAGCUGCUUUGAAGGCUGCACAAAAAACCUUACUAGUUUCUACCCCUGCAGUUGAUAAUAAUGAAGCACAGAAAAAGAAACAGGAGGCACUGAAACUUCAGCAGGAUGUAAGAAAAAGGAAGCAAGAAAUUUUAGAAAAGCACAUUGAAACACAGAAGGUAAAUUGACAAAAUCAAAUGUGACAGAAUUAUUAGUGUGGCUGUUUUUAGUGAAUUUAAUCUGUUUAAUUCACAGUGAGAAGCACAUUAACUAUAAUUAGUAGUGGUAAAAGUGAAAAAGUUACUAAGUAUAAUCAUCAACGUUAUGUAUUCAUUCAUUGGCAUUGGAGUUGAAACUUGCAUCAAGUGAUGGGUAUGGUUAUCAUCAUGAAAUAAGUUCAUUUAGCUCUGUGACUGACUGUACAAUAGGUUUUGGUCAGUGCAUAAUGAAGUGAAGUCAUUUUCUCUUUGUUGAUUUGUACUUCACUGUUUUAUACAGUAGAAUAGUCAAAAGCCACAUCUGGAGUGUGUCUAGUGAAGAUGUUAAUUGCACAGCAGAUUGCAAUAACAUAGUAUCAAGAAAAAAAAUCUCAGUAAUUUUUGUUAUUGAAAUGUAUAUUUUGGU
rnacentral:lncRNA from 1 species